rnacentral:tRNA from 1 species
UGAUACAUAGUUUAGUAAGAAUACUCGUUUUGGGGAUGAGAGGUUUAUAUUUUAAUGUUUCAA